rnacentral:rRNA from 1 species
CCUACGGGUGGCAGCAGUGGGGAAUAUUGGACAAUGGGGGGAACCCUGAUCCAGCCAUGCCGCGUGUGUGAAGAAGGCCCUCGGGUUGUAAAGCACUUUCAGUGAGGAAGAACGCCUGGUGGUGAAUACCCAUCAGGAAAGACAUCACUCACAGAAGAAGCACCGGCUAACUCCGUGCCAGCAGCCGCGGUAAUACGGAGGGUGCGAGCGUUAAUCGGAAUUACUGGGCGUAAAGCGCGCGUAGGUGGCUUGAUAAGCCGGUUGUGAAAGCCCCGGGCUCAACCUGGGAACGGCAUCCGGAACUGUCAAGCUAGAGUGCAGGAGAGGAAGGUAGAAUUCCCGGUGUAGCGGUGAAAUGCGUAGAGAUCGGGAGGAAUACCAGUGGCGAAGGCGGCCUUCUGGACUGACACUGACACUGAGGUGCGAAAGCGUGGGUAGCAAACAGGAUUAGAUACCCGUGUAGUC